UGGGGAAUAUUGGACAAUGGGCGAAAGCCUGAUCCAGCAAUGCCGCGUGUGUGAAGAAGGCCUGCGGGUUGUAAAGCACUUUUGGCAGGGAAGAAACCCCGGCUGAUACCUCGGGUUGACGUAACCUCCAGAAGAAGCCCCGGCCAACUACGUGCCAGCAGCCGCGGUAAUACGUAGGGGGCGAACGUUGUCCGGAUUUAUUGGGCGUAAAGAGCUCGUAGGCGGCUCAACAAGUCGGUCGUGAAAGUCCGGGGCUCAACCCCGGGAUGCCGGUCGAAACUGUUGUGGCUAGGGUCCGGUAGAGGAGAGUGGAAUUCCCGGUGUAGCGGUGAAAUGCGCAGAUAUCGGGAGGAACACCAGUAGCGAAGGCGGCUUCUUCUGGGCCGGUACCGACGCUCAUGCACGAAAGCGUGGGGAGCAAACA
rnacentral:rRNA from 1 species